GCAGGACCCCGGCGCGCCCAUGCCCAAGGGACUGAGCUUACCCCGGGAGGCCUCCACCCAGCACACAGGGCCCCCGGCCCAGCCUGCGACCCAGUUACCAGAAGCCCUUUGUCCUUUUUUGAGGAGGCCUUCCUGCCAACACCAGGCCAGCCUCAGGUGGACAACGUGCAACCCCCUGGGGCAGCUGUGGACACCCAGGGCCCACACCGGGGAGGGGCGACGUGUGCCCCCAUUCCCAACACUGCCGCCUGGACCGCCCUCCACCGCUGUUUUGGGUUGUCCGGGUUUAUAUGUUACAAGGAUCCCUCCGUGUUGGGGCAUCUAGGAGGUGCACCUGCCUGCAGACAGCACGGCCGCGCGGUGCGGCAGCUCUCACCCUUCCAGCUUCCAGCGGAAUGAGAAGGUCUUAAACGAUUCGGCCAAAUGUUUGGGGGUUGGUUGGCGUUGGGCAACUGGCCCCAGGGCAGGAAAUGUCCACCACCGCCUGGACUGCAGGCAAAGGGUGGUUUGGAAGGUCCUUGGAAGUUGUGUUUGGGAAGUGGGUCAGGCCCCAUCAGGGGACCUGUGGACACGGCCUGGGCCCCAGCUCCCCCGGCCCACAGCCACCGCCUGAAGAGGACACUUUGCCCUCUGACCCGCUCCCUUCCUCAGCCAGCCUCUUGGCGGUUUCCCGCUCAGCUGCGAGCUGUUCUCAUCACAGCGGCCGCUGCGCCCCCGGCCCCGCCUCCCGCGCUGCGUGCGCCGUGGGUCGGAUGCCUGGAGGUGCUCCGUCCUGCCCUGAGAGAGGGGUGGCUGGGGCUGCGGGGGCCCGCAGGUCCUGGAAAGCUGUGUGUGUGUGUGUGUGCAGAGGGGCCUGGCGGGGCCAGCCUCCUGCCCCUGGAGGUCUGUGUGCAGAGGGGCAUUGGGCAAGCUCUGCCUCGAGGUCUCCCGUGGCCUCCUGCGCCCGGAGCCGCGCUGGAUUCCAGAAACCAGAGGGCAGCCUGGAGGGGCUCCGUGGCCAGCACUGCCUGCAGCUCCGUGUGCCCAAGGCGGCCAGUCCUGGGUCACCACCUCCCAGGAGACAGAUCCCAUGGGACAUGGCUGUGAUCUGCCAAAGACAGUCUUGCCUACGUUUCCCCCCAGGAAGGGGCCACUCCAGGUUCACUGGGCGCCCCUGGCACCCAGACUGUGGUGUCUACACAGCAUUUGCCACUGAAGGCACCAGAGCUCCUGGUCCAGAGGCCAAGUCCAGGUCUAGAAUAGGAAACACGCAAGAUGUUGAGCCCGAUAACAGAAGCCUCUGGAAAUGUCAGCGCCCCAGGGAAAACGUCAGGCUCAAAAGCAACACUUAAAGGGGCGCAGUUUUAAAAAGGGGGGAAUGCAGCGCUUACCCGCCAUUGCUAACGCGCUGUGUUUCAGGGGAACCAAACCACGGCCGACAAGUCAGGAGGAACAACGAAAUGGAAACACCCCCAAAUGAAGUAAGGGCCCAGGCGACGCCAUCACCAAGGACAGGACAGAGGACGUGACCUCGAGGGUCACGCAGAGAAGCGCCUCCCGACGCGCUGGGACGGGCGUAAGAGGCGGAGCACCAGCCGUCGUGCAGGGCACAGAGUCACACAUGGG